GGCCUCCCCCGACGUGACACAACAUCCUGCCGCGAUGUUGUGCCCAUCAGACCUGCAGUGUCCGUCGGUGGCC
rfam:Penicillium oxalicum 114-2 unplaced genomic scaffold scaffold_2, whole genome shotgun sequence.